rnacentral:lncRNA from 1 species
UCAAGGACACAUUGUUUUGUUAUGUACUCUGUGUGUGUGUGUGUGUGUGUGAGAGAGAGAGAGAGAGAGAGAGAGAGAGAGAGAGGGAGAGAGAGAGAGAAUGUUUGUGUGUGUGUAUGCCUAUGUCUCUGUGUCUCUAUGUCAGUGUGUGUCUGUCUGUGUGUUCAUGUCUGUCCAUGUGUCUGUCUGACUGUAUGUUUGUGUCUGUGUGUCUGUCUGUGUGUCUGUGUGCAUCUGUCUAUAUGUCUGUAUCUCUUUGUCUUUGUUUUUGUGUGUGUGUGUAUGUCUGUAUGUAUGUCUUUGUGUGUAUGUGUGUCUGUCUGUGUGCUUGUGUGUAUGUGUCUAUCUGUCUGUGUGUUUGUUUGUGUGUGUGUCUGUUUAUAUCUCUUUGUAUGUAUGUGUGUCUGUGUGUUUGUGUAUAUUGGUCUAUAUGUCUGUGUCUCUGUGUCUUUGUGUUUGUGUGUGUGUGUAUCUGUCUGUUUAUAUCUCUUUAUGUGUAUGUGUGUAUGUGUAUGUGUAUGUGUGUGUGUGUCUGUCUGUCUGUGCCAGGGCACACAUGCAAAGUCAGAGGGCAGCUCUCUGGAGCGGGUCUCUUCUCCCCUGUGCACUGAACUCAGGUUGUCAGGCAUGGCCACUUUUAGCCACUGAGCCAUCUCCCUGGUCCAGGGCAAUGAAUAUGACUCUGCCUUCAGAGUGUGUUGGCUGACUCCUACCACUCCAAUAGUCACUAUCUUCUCUUCCUUCCUUUCUCUUGCACUUGACUGAAGUGUUCUACCUCUGACCCACAUCCUGGGCAAUCCAACUAUAUCUCUUAGGUGGUUCUUUACCAUCAUCUCCUCUCUCGUCUCUGUUCUGUGGCUCCAGACAAACUGCAGUUUCUACACAGCAACCAAGGUAAGCCUGUUAAACAUAAAUCAGAUCAUGACCUCAUAAGCCUCCAUGCCAGCAUGCUCUGCAUUGAUGGGUUUGUGCAACCACUGAUACAAAGUGCUUGGGGAAGCAUCUCAUUUGUAGGGGACACAGGCAGGUGUUAUUCCUCUGUUAUCCCUUAAGGAUGACCACAACACCUGAUGGGGACUAUUCAAGAAAGCAAAGGGUUUUUAUCUUGGCUCAUCAUUUCAGAGGUUUCUGCCCAUCCUGGAGCAAGCAGAUCAGUCCACUGUGGCAGAGGCAUGGUGCACAGAACUUAUCCUACUUGUUUCUAAUGAAAAAGAAACACACAGUAUCAGCUGCAUUUACCAUGGUUCCCAACAUGUCUUUGAAGAGUUAUUCCUUGGACAUACCCACAUCUUGAUGUCAGAAUCUAUAGUUUGUCAUGAGUUCGAAUCAUGCCUUAUUGUUGGUACUGCAAGUGGCUAGGCAGACACAAACACCGUGUCUUCCAGAGCCAUUGAAAAUGUGACACUGCCCUCACUGUUUGGUCCUGACACAGGGUGAAUGGAAAGAAGAUUGCAAAUGGAGACCUUCUUAGCUUCACUGGUCCUACAUCCAGGCUUAGCCCAUCAAGCAAGGCCCAGCUGCCUUCCUAGUUACAGGGCCGUGAGGCUGCGCUCUGUGCUGAUCCCUUUUCCACUGGCUACACAUGAUCUUCUGCCCACUCCUCUGGAUCAGUACCAACAAUUGUAGAAAGGGAGGAAGCUCCUGUCAUUGGCUGUGUCUGCUCUGUUGACUCCCGCAUCCAAGCCCAGAUUUUCUCCUGGAGAGAGGUCUCUUGGAUAUGGUGUCUCUCUGGAGAUAGAACUCUGAGUCCAGAGUCACAGAAAAGCAGCCGAGCAUCCUUCUUGCUCUUGCCCCACUCAGAUACUUUGUAUCCACCAGUGGCUCUGGCACUGGCUCUGGCUCCUGGAAGUCUUAGCCUCCACACUGGCUGCUCUUCCCUGUUCUAUGAAUCUCUUUGUUUGGCUUGUCAACAACCACCUUUCAGAAGCCAGACUGGGUGUUCCAGUGUUGCUGACAACCUAAACUAUUUCUGUGGCCUCUUCUGAAGUCAAGCUGAUGGCUUUCCUUCCGGGGUGUCCCGGGUGGUGUUCCGCAGUAGCUCAACCUCACUGCUGGUUCUGUGGAUGGAGAAGUGUGGCCGGAAUGCGAAUCAAUGCACACUUCUUUUCAUCAACAAAGAAUGCUUUUGAGUUUCAACUGAGCCAUAUGAGUACAUAGCUGUGUGGUAAAUUACAUUCCCGCACUGAGUUCUAAGUCUGAGGACAAGGGCCAGUGGGUCACAGGAAAGUGACAUUGGGCUAAAUCCUGCUAGGGGGCAAUGAAAGGACUGCUUGCCCACUUUGACUGUUUAAGGGAAGACAGAGGGAACGGAAAGAGGAAACUUUCCUGCAUCAGGAAGACGCUUCGAGUCUGUGUGAAAUAAACCAUUUUCUUUUUAAUCAUAAGGGAAUAAUUUUUCCCUCUUAACCAUCAGUGUUGCCGCUUUGAAGUCAAAGCCUGUGCAAGAGCAAUUUGCACAGAAUUAUACUCUAGGAAACUGUCUAAUCACUCGCAGGGCUGGCCUGUUUCUAAUGCAGAAGGGCCUUGUUGCCUGGAGUGAAUCAUAUGCUGAAGAAAACUUUACAAAAUAACUGAAUAGAAGACUAAUGUGAAUGUAGGCAGCAGCAUGAGCCAGCUUUUCUGCCCCUGCUGUUCUUAUGAGCAAGCUCGGGUGUAUCCGAGAAUGCUUGUACAGUUGGGGCCCUCUGGUUGAAAGAAGAACCCUUCGAUUUAUGGGAUCUGUCUGGUGGAGUCUCAGCAGUGUCCUGUCAGGUACAUUGAGGCAUAAGCUGAGGACCAGAACAUUUUUGCUGUUAUUGGUGGUGGUGGUGUUUGUUUUGUUUUGUUUUGGCUUUUUUUUUUUUUUUUUGAAAAAUGAAACCAGAGAUGGGACUGGCUUUGAUUUAAUUAAAUCAAAGAUCUUUAGUUGACAGUUUGCAGGGUCCAUAACACUGUAUGGGGUGCACACAUAUGAACAAAGAGAUUAAAUUCAUCAUCAUGAUUAGAAAUGCAGAUAAAAACCCACAAGAGAAGAAUUUGGCCAACAAAAUGAGACAAAUUCUAUAAACACCCAAAAUACAUCUCCUCCAAAGUCUGCAAAUAAAGGUGUCAGCUUGUUUGACUUCUCCAGGAAGAGUUUCCUUUAAAGUGUUGCAAACAGCGCAGCAGCAAGGAGCAUCUGCUCAAAAGAAGGCCAGCGGUGAUGGCGCUGUGGGUCACCCCUCAGUGCCUCUGCAUCUUCAGGUGUUUCAUUAAAACCCUACUAACUGGUUAAGACUAGAAUGCAGCACGGUGUCGGUCACAGGAGAUUAUCCACAGGCUCCACGUGGACCCAAAGACACAGAGUCCCCAUGUGUGGCUGUCAGAGUGCUCACUGUCCAGAUGGCCUGGAUACAUUGUGUUUCAUGAUGUAGCUGCCCCAAGGACCACAGAGGAUAGGCAUGAAAGAUAAGCUAUCCACAAUGAAAUCUUUAAAACACGGAAAAGAGAAAUGGAUGAAGACACAAGAGGAUGAGAAGAUGGCUAUGCACAUGGACCAGAAGGAUCAGUAUUGUGGAAAUGGUAAUUUUACCCAAAGAAGUCUAUAGGUUCGAUGCCACCCAAAUCAAAAUCCUGAUGCAGUUUUUCCAUGGAAACAGAAACCAUGACUUUAGAGCUCAUAUUGAAGCUCAAAAGACCCCAGAGAACUAAAGCAAUCCUGACCAGUAAAAGCAUAGCUGGAGGUAUCUAUUUCAAUAAACUAUUUUGGAAAUUGUUUGAAGAGAACCAGUGAAAGAUGGGCUCUGUAUCCAAGGUUCCACACAGCUGAAACCUGCAUCUGGGUGUUCGCAAUGCCACUUUAGACUGCUGGUGGAGUAGGGCUGAAGUAGGCAAGGCCAGGCCAAAUGUGUGUUGGGACAGAGGGAGGUGGAGAAGCCAACGGGCUUCCACUGGCAUCUCCAGACAUCUUAUAUGUUCAUGACAUCAUCCCUUCCCGGGGCAUACCAGAAGACAGAUAGCCGUUGUCUUUUCAGACAGGAAGGGCUCACCCUGACUUCCAGCCACUGUGCAGACCCUGGCUGGCUAUUCCAGCUUCAGUGAGCAACUCUGCAGCCUCCCUGUAUCAGAGCUGAGCUUUCAGUCCAUAGCGUCUGUUGAGUGUGGCUUCUCUUCUUGACUCCCCUCAUAACACAGCUGAGCACACGGAAACCUUCAGCAGGUCACAGAGAAGAAUGGCCUGCUAAGCAUGUAGCCGCAAUGACUCACUAACAUGCACUUCAUACAUGCAUAAAGUUUACUAAUAUACACUUUGUAGGCUGCUCCUCAAGACCUGCAAUUUGAGGGUUCACAGCUUUAAAACUUCACAGUUUUUCAGUCUCAGAGGGCUUGAUUCAUGGCCUAAGUUGUUGUUUUUGUUGUUGUUGUUGUUUCCUUACUAACUCUCAGAAAAUGUGUAUUUUCAGGCCACAUUUCAAGUCCCAAUGUCCUAAGGGACAUAAGAGGGAAUUGGUCCCACCCCCUGUAGUAAGGGUGAGAUGGGCAUCUUGAUCUAUAAAAGGAAAAUGUCAACUAUUGAAGGAAAAGAAUGACAUUUGUUAAAGCACAGAAUGAAGGCUUUUAUUCAGGACCAGGAAACAAGGCAGGGGAAACUGUUGGGGAAGUUCGAGUUCCUAGAGGAGGCUAUGGGGGAUUGCUACCAUACACUGUGCGUCGUCUGGUUCAGUCUUCACACGGUAUUUCUGAAUAAACACCUGUACGCGCAUAGCCAAGUGUUUGCUGGAUACCUUCCCACUCUUUCUAUUGUCUUUUUACAAAGAUCCUCUUCCUGGCCAAGUGUCCAUCCAGCUGCUGACCCUCCUUCCAGUCUGACCUGUACACUUUCUUGUCUUACCCACUUUCCACACAGAUCACAGGUAAGUUAUUUAACAAGAACCCCAUCCUGGAUAUCACAGCAUUCUGGAUAUGGAACUGGGCUCAUCACCCUGCACAGGAUGCCUACCCACCCUAGGCGGUAAGAAUCCUAUGAGGUCUGUUUAGCUAUGAUCCUUCCUAGCCCAUUUCCCUUUAGCAACAUUGUAUUCUUUAACCCUUCCUAGCCCCUGUAUUUCCUUUUAGCAACAUUGUAUCUUUUAUCCCAUCCCUUGUAAGUGCCUUCCUGCACCCUAGUGGCACUGAGCCCCAUCUCCCUCACUGCAAACCCUUUGGCUAGUUUUCCCUAUGCCUGCCAUCAUGGUCUCUAACACUUACUUUCCACUCCACACUUUCAAAAACAGUGUUGGGGUUUGUCUCUCUUCAAACAGCCUGUAGUUUUCCAGAAGCAAUAAAACGUACCGCAUCUUACCUUCACACCAGGGCAUGGGCUAAUGCUCUCCUCUUCUGCCCCUUAGAAUCUUGAGCUCAAUACAUGCCUUAUAAAUCUGCAUUGCUUGGGAGCUGGUUGCAGAAUCUUUGGCCCUACCUCCUCAUAUUCUGAAUCAGAAGCUGCAUUUUAUAAGAUACUUGGCUGUUUUUCAGGCAUGCUGCAAUCUGAGAAGCCCGCCCUGGGAGAUGACGCCAGUGUGCUGAGAGCCAACAAGAAGAAAGUCAUUAACGCCAGUGAUGUACAUCAAUCACAGCCCUGACAGCAUGAUGCUCCACGGGUUGAGAAGAUUGCAUCUCCAGGGAAAACAGACAAGAGGCGUGUGCUGAGGUCGUCCUUCCGCACCAGACAAACUUGGAACGAAAAAGUGCACAUAACACUUCCUAAAGCACUUGAGUGACUGAUUUGUCAGCUCCUGUCACCUGACCAUGGGCUACCUUCAGAAGACUAGACCAGCUAGACAGUCAUGGACCACCAAUGAGAAAGUCACACAGUGUUCUUUCCCUUUUCUAUCUCUGGGGCCCAGCCAUAAGCUUUUCAUGCCCAUAAGGAAAGCUCGAAGCUCCCGGGGUGCUGUGAGGACCAGGGUACUGGGACCAGCUCAAACCUAGGCAUUGCAGUGAUCUGCCUGGUUCUAAUAAGAUGCAAUACAUGAGAAACAGGUACAGGCUUAGACUUCAGGCUCUUUCUGGACCUCAUCACAGUUCCCUGAUUCACAGGAGGACACUCUGACUACAUUUGUGAGUGACUUCUCUAGCUGUGUGCCAAGCCUUUCAGCAGCGCUCAUUUCAGAACAUUCAAUUUCCUCUUACUUUCUGUCAGUUGUCUCCCUUUGAAUUCUGAUUUAUUUUACACACCCCUAUAAACUGUCUUAAUUGUCUUUGAAACAGAGACCAGAGUAGAGAAGGCUCAGUCUGCCUGUCUUUAUGUGGGUGUGGAAUGUGGGUUGUGUAGAAAGCAUUUGGCCUCAGUGAAACGGGAGAUGUUCUCAGAACCCAUGGAUGUCAAUGGCCAUCAUGUUGUGAGCUCUCACGGACAGAUCUAGACCCCUUUUGCACUGGGCAGGGUUGAGUGCUGCUGGUCCCUCAUUUGUAACUCCUUUACUGUCACCAAGUGAAGGAAAAUGUCCAGAAAGUGAAGAACAUUCUGUUUCUUGGAAGUAACAAAGGUCUAGCUCAGUUCCCAGAGUGAGGUUCCCAGACAAGAGGCUCGAUGUCAUCUGAACAUCGGGGAAAGCAGAAUUCUCUGACCCACCCUGCAAGAAGCUUGGGUGCUGAAGACUGAUUUUCAAUCAAGCAUCCCAUGAUCGUGAGUUUGUGCAAGCCUGAGAACCUAUUGACUUGACUCAAAGUGGUGAGAGCGUUUUCCCAUGAACCACUCUACUUGCUGUGCGUUUUUAUUGAGGUGGGAACAGCUGUCUCUUAUUUAUAGAUUUAUCUCUUAUUUAUAGACUGUCAUCACACAGAUUUAUCUGCUUCUCAGGCAAAUUCCACGGAAAGGUUCACAGAAGCAAGAUUUGGAGCAUUUUGGCUCUCUUGGCCAUCAUAACUAAUGGGAGCCUGAUUUUACUUAAAUUUUCCCCAAAUUUGUAAAUCAUCCACCUCUAAAGCAGCCAAGUGAGAUAUUUAUAGUAUAAGGAAACUAGCCACAGAACAGAUUUCCAAAAAUCUGCAGUUUGCAUCAGCACGCUGCAGAAAAAAAGAAAAAAAAAAGUAAAGCCUCAUAUGUUGCCGGAGAACGAAAGAAGAAAUGAAAGAAAGGGCAGAGAACUUCUGAAAAUGAGAUGUUUGAGAUAGUCAAGCUUGGAAAGACAGAAACCCAGACCGCCUGUUCAAGUCAAAAUGGUAGCAACGGCUGUCAUCCAGCAACAGCUGAAGGAAGCGUUUAGAUAUAUGUAUUACAUACUGAUGUGAGAGGGUAACACGGUGGUAGGGUUCCCACCCCAUCACAUCUAAUGGGACUCUUUUAAUAUUUGAUAUAUAGGAGCUCGGAUCAUGGAUGGAUCUUCAGUGUUACAGCCAAUGCACAGAACACAGCUGUGACAAGUAUCUGUCUCAGUGGUCCUGGCUGACAAGGAGCCACUUAAUUGCAUUUACAACCAAAGAGAGGGCAUGGAGUUGAGUCCAGAAGUCACCUAGAAGAAAUUCAGACUCAGGACUGCUUGCUUGUGAUUUAUUUCUACCCGAAGUUCCCAGUUGCUAUUAAAAUAAUGUCAAGGACAUAAUGAUGGCUCUAAUAAGACGUCAAUCGUGGUCCUGAUGAUGGGCUGGUGCCUGAAGUAAUGAGACAUCAGGGAAAAGCACAUCGUGUGCUCUCCUGCACCGUUAAAGGGACUCUGGGCAAAUGGAGACUUCACUACAAUUUCCCUCAGAUGCGCCAGACAUUUGCUCUUUGGCUAAAAGCUCUCCAGUUAGCAGAAUCAGAACUGAAACUCCCACACCUGAGGAAAGAAGAGAGCGCCCACAGAUCCUGCUUUCAAGCGGGUUACCACCGAUGCUCACCACCAUUAACAAGGUGGCUAUCCAGAAGGGAAGCAGGGCUCUGAGUGUGUACCUAGCAGACAGUCAUAAAGGACAAAGUGCUCGACAGACAACUCUACUCCACUCCUAACUAAAUCCCCAAGGGGACCUCUUUGCAUUCCAUUACCAGGUUUUUCCUGAUUCCACCUACAUCUAAUUAAGUCCUUAAAAGUCACUUUGGAGACCUAAACUACAGGUCUGCAUGGGGACCUCUUUAGUGUGAGCUCCCAUUGCUAUCCAUCCCUCUGCCCGGAGCUAUGAUAAAAGCUAUCUCAAAAUGCACCCUUCUCCAGGUCAUUUGUUUCUCUUUGCUGGGAACUUGCAGUUGAGUGACACUGUUCCACCACUCAGCGUAUGUCUGAAACAGCCGAGAAAGUCCCAGUGCUGUGGGUUGUGGACCCCCACAGGAUACGUUUACCGAGUGUCAAUUCACUCUACCGGCUUCCCUCGUCAGCUAUGUGAAGAGAACAUUCUCCCUGCCCCUUACAAACUGUUUGGAUUUAGUUAUUGUCUUCUCUUCCUUAAGUAAAUAAAAAGGUGAAGGAAACCAUAGAGGGCACUGGAUCCCCCCAAAGCCAGAAGGGUCAGAAAGGAAAAGCUUGCAAGAUUGAAAACUAGAUUUGAUGCUACCUUUUCUAUAGCACCCUCUGGUGCCCCUGUGAGCACCUCUCCCUUCACCACCAUCACCUUGGCCCAGGGUGUUUUCAAAAGGUUAAGAGACGUAUACAUGCAAGUUCAGAUAUCUGGCAGAUAACAGGACCACAGCUUCGAUGGGGUUUUAGAUUAUUAAUUUCAUCUACUUUCCAAGCAGAUUUAGAAGAGGACUUGUGACCAUUGCUGACGUUUUGAGGGUAACGUGGGAGAUUAUUUUUCUACACUGAUUUACAAAGCCCAUGCUGGAUUCAUGCCCCCUACAUCUUUAAUUAAUAAGAUGUCAACCUUCCAGAGAUACCGGAAGGAAUUUCAUAGGCCAGAGGGAGGGGAAGCAUAGAACGUCACUGGAGUAACCGUAAGGCAAGACGUCUAAGGGGAAAUUGUUCUAAUCCUGGUGACAAGAUGGGUUGCCUCCACUUAUCAAGAUCAGCUUAGGAAUGGGCCCCUGACAUCAUUGUAACUGACUUUCUGAGAAUACAGGGCCCCAAAGCUUGGGUGCUAUCAGGUGGGACCCGAUCUCUCUGAUUCUCAGAACAACUUACAACAACAACAACAGCUACUACUACAGAAAUAAACGUGGCUCUUGCCCAGUAGAAACGUAGGCAGAGUUUGCUGUAUUUUCCCUUUUGAAUUUCAGAGUUGCCGUUAUGACAUGUGGCGAAGCUCAAGAGUGGAGCUCUAUGCUUCUUUAAUACCAUGCUUUAGACAUCAACAGGAAUGCUCAGAAUAAAGGCUUGUUUUCCGUCUGUGUCAUUGCUGCACACGGCUCUAUGACCAGGUAUUGAUACCUGGAUGUGAGAGUAAGCUGUGUCCAUCAUCCUAAAGGUCUAGCAUUGCACUCUGACCUGUUAACUCUGCCAACAUCCUCACCUCCCUGCUGUCCUUUGUCCUGCCUCUCAUCAAAAGACAUUGUGAAGAACUGUAUUAGACUACACAGAUGAGAAGGGGGCUGUGGCGCUGACCUCUUGACCUCUGACCUCUUGACAUACAGUAUCAGUCUUAGAUUGCUCUUGCUCAGCCUGAGAGCAAACUUCUAAUCUGCAUAAUCUACACUUGGGUCUUAAAGCAAUGAAUGGAGGUGUAUUGCAGACAAUCCAGCCACACGAUGCCAAACUGACAGCUGGGACUCCUCUCUGACUUCUUAGAGUGCGGAGCAUGAGCCGUGGCGUGACAGCCACGAGGAACACAACCUUUAAGUCAGAUGGGACAGACACUAGAUUUUGUCUGUCCACUUCCUAGCUGUUCUCCGCUAAGGAUUCUGGGCUUAGUCAU